UACGAAGGGGGCAAGCGUUGUCCGGAAUCAUUGGGCGUAAAGCGCGUGUAGGCGGCUCGAUAAGUCCGCUCUGAAAGUCCAGGGCUCAACCCUGGGAUGCGGGUGGAUACUGUCGGGCUCGAGUCCGGAAGAGGCGAGUGGAAUUCCCGGUGUAGCGGUGAAAUGCGCAGAUAUCGGGAGGAACACCAAUGGCGAAGGCAGCUCGCUGGGACGUGACUGACGCUGAGACGCGAAAGCGUGGGGAGCAAACAGG
rnacentral:rRNA from 1 species